UACAGAGGUCCCGAGCGUUGUUCGGAUUCACUGGGCGUAAAGGGUGCGCAGGUGGCCUGUCAAGUUUGAUGUGAAAGCCCCGGGCUUAACCCGGGAAUGGCAUUGAAUACUGAUGGGCUGGAGGAUUGGAAGGGGGACUGGAAUUCUUGGUGUAGCAGUGAAAUGCGUAGAUAUCAAGAGGAACACCAGUGGCGAAGGCGAGUCCCUGGACAAUACCUGACACUGAGGCACGAAAGCCAAGGGAGCAAACAGG
rnacentral:rRNA from 1 species